AGAGCAAAAAUAACUUGGAUGAUCCCUCCAGAACUUUACAGGGACAGAGGUCUGGAGACUGUGUCGACUAGAAGAAGAUAGCUGGGCAACCUCUGCUCCGUGACUCAAAUGGGGUGAUCCUGAGCAAGUGUGCCUGGUGCACAGAGAUCACCUUGGGGCUCCUUGGCAGCCUGCUUCUGCAAAGGAUGGUGCUUGGUGGAAUGAAAUUCAGACACACAGAGAGAAAGCCAUGGGAAUUAAGAAGCUGAAGGUCAACAGAACCCAGAAGAGAAGAGAGAGGCCAGGAAAGUCCCCAUGUACACUGCCAUUUGACAGAGAAGCCCAGGACCAAGGAUCACUGGCAGCCAGCCCCAGGAUGCCAGUCUUCAAGAAGA